GCCCCAGUAGCUCAGGUGGAUAGAGCAGCGGUUUCCUAAACCGUUGGUCGGAGGUUCGAAUCCUCUCUGGGGCA
rnacentral:tRNA from 1 species